rnacentral:lncRNA from 1 species
CUCAAAAUCAAAAGCCAAUAAUCAUGCUAGAUUGAAAAUCCUAGUAUCAUUCUGAAAAAUUCUUCUCUCAGCACACUCUAAUUCUCAUAAAAAUCUGCUGUAGCACCAACUCUAACUACGAAAUUCUAUAAGAAUUAUAUCAACUUAAUGACUUGCACUUAUUAACGGUUCUGCCCCGAUAAGAGAUAAAAGGUCGAGGAGAUUUCCUUUUCUUUCCCUUUACAAAGAAUGUACAUGAUCUCAAUGCCAAACAAGCAGUGCUAAUACACGGCCACAAACAGAAGAAACUGCCAAAUAUGUAUAAUAGAAAAAUUUGAAAUAAGAAAAUCAAAAGAAAUCAGCUCAACAAGCAAAACAUGGUUGGCAAAUACUAAUGCUACAUGCUACCAGCUCUGCCUGGAGUAGAUUUUGCAGACGAUUUCACUUUAGCCAUAUCAACAAGAUCUCCGAAUAGCUUGUCCUCUGGCUUUGAAGGCCUCAUGGGCGUCACAUACGAUGAAGUGGACACCUGGUAUUAAGAGUUCCUUAAGCUGCUGUCAUCUCUAACCGAUACAUCCGCUGGUCAAGGUACUGAGCACCUUGUUGGCCAUAGCCGUAGGCUGCCACCUGGCUGCCAUACAUUUGCUGGGGAUAUAAAUAAGCCAUCUGACCUACUUGCAUUGGCUGAGGAACCAUCCCCAUAUAAGGACCUCCUUGGAUGGGCUGAGGUGGUAAGUCCUACCAUUUGGUUUAUCGGAACAACCUGGCUAUUCAGCAAUGGCAUGUGGCCACCUGCGACUGGUUGCAAGUACAUGCCCAUCGCUUGCUCAUU